CGAUGGUAGUGUAGUGGACUACCAUGGUUGUGACGGGUAACGGAGGAUAAGGGUUCGACUCCGGAGAGGGAGCUUGAGACACGGCUACCAUGUCUAAGGACAGCAGCAGGCGCGCAAAUUACCCACUCUCAGAACGAGGAGGUAGUGACGAAAAAUAACGAGACCGUUCUCUAUGAGGCCGGUCAUCGGAAUGGGUACAAUCUAAACCCUUUAACGAGUAUCUAUGAGAGGGCAAGUCUGGUGCCAGCAGCCGCGGUAAUUCCAGCUCUCAAAAUGCAUAGAAUUAUUGCUGCGGUUAAAAAGCUCGUAGUUGGAUCUGUGCUGGGAACUGGGUCCGCCUUCGGGUGUGCACUCAGCUUCCCGGCUUUUUGCUGGUUUUCCCGUUGUGGCCUUUACCGGUUGCAGCGGGUGGCUGGCGAGUUUACCUUGAAGAAAUCAAAGUGCUUAAUACAGGCGAUUUGCUUGAAUGUGGUGCAUGGAAUAAUAGAAAAGGAUUUCGGUUCUCUUUUAUUGGUUUUACGAGCUGAGAUAAUGGUUAACAGAGACAAACGGGGGCAUUCGUAUCGUUGCGUGAGAGGUGAAAUUCUUGGACCGCAGCGAGACGAACUACAGCGAAAGCAUUUGCCAAGAAUGUCUUCAUUAAUCAAGAACGAAAGUCAGAGGUUCGAAGGCGAUCAGAUACCGCCCUAGUUCUGACCGUAAACGAUGCCAACUAGCGAUCCGCCGGCGGAUAUUUCGCCCUGGUGGGGAGCUUCCCGGAAACGAAAGUCUUCCGGUUCCGGGGGAAGUAUGGUUGCAAGCUGAAACUUAAAGGAAUUGACGGAAGGGCACCACCAGGAGUGGAGCCUGCGGCUUAAUUUGACCCAACACGGGGAAACUCACCCGGCCCGGACACCGUGAGGAUUGACAGAUUGAAAGCUCUUUCUUGAUUCGGUGGUUGGUGGUGCAUGGCCGUUCUUAGUUCGUGGAGCGAUUUGUCUGGUUUAUUCCGAUAACGAGCGAGACUCUAGCUUACUAAAUAGUCUGGUCUUUAUUACUGAGGCCUGACUUCUUAGAGGGAUUUUCGGUGUUCAGCCGCACGAGAUUGAGCAAUAACAGGUCUGUGAUGCCCUUAGAUGUCCGGGGCUGCACGCGCGCUACACUGGCGAAAUCAGCGUGCUUUUCCUAUCUCGAAAGAGAUUGGUAAACCGAUGAAAAUUUGCCGUGAUUGGGAUCGGAAAUUGCAAUUAUUUUCCGUGAACGAGGAAUUCCAAGUAAGUGCGAGUCAUCAACUCGCGUUGAUUACGUCCCUGCCCUUUGUACACACCGCCCGUCGCUGCCCGGGACUGAGCCAUUUCGAGAAAAUCGGGGAUUGCUGAUUUCUGUUCUUUCGGGAACAGACUUUGGCGAAAACCGAUUUAAUCGCAGUGGCUUGAACCGGGCAAAAGUCGUAACAAGGUA
rnacentral:rRNA from 1 species